rnacentral:tRNA from 1 species
AAAGAAUUAGUUAAACAUAUAACAUAAAUAUGUCAUAUUUAAAUUAUUUUUAUAGAAAUAUUCUUUU